GCCUGCGUAGCUCAGUGGCAGAGCGGCUGCCUUGUAAGCAGUAGGUCGGGAGUUCAAAUGUCUCCGCAGGCU
rnacentral:tRNA from 1 species